rnacentral:rRNA from 1 species
GUACUGCUCAGUAACACGUGGAUAAUCUGCCCUAAGGUCAGGCAUAACUCCGGGAAACUGGUGAUAAUACCUGAUAAAUCAUAGAUACUGGAAUGUUCUGUGAUUCAAAGUUCCGGCGCCUUAGGAUGAAUCUGCGGUCUAUCAGGUAGUAGUGGGUGUAACGUACCUACUAGCCAACGACGGAUACGGGUUGUGAGAGCAAGAGCCCGGAGAUGGAUUCUGAGACAUGAAUCCAGGCCCUACGGGGCGCAGCAGGCGCGAAAUCUUUACAAUGCGGGGAACCGCGAUAAGGGGAUACUGAGUGCCAGCAUAUUAUGUUGGCUGUCCACCUGUAUAAACAGCAGGUGUUAGCAAGGGCCGGGCAAGACCGGUGCCAGCCGCCGCGGUAACACCGGCGGCCCGAGUGGUGGCCACUAUUAUUGGGUCUAAAGGGUCCGUAGCCUGUUCGAUCAGUCUUCCGGGAAAUCUGACAGCUCAACUGUUAGGCUUCCGGGGGAUACUGUCGGACUUGGGACCGGGAGAGGUAAGAGGUACUACAGGGGUAGGAGUGAAAUCUUGUAAUCCUUGUGGGACCACCAGUGGCGAAGGCGUCUUACCAGA